UACGUAGGGUGCGAGCGUUAAUCGGAUUUACUGGGCGUAAAGCGUGCGCAGGCGGCCCGUUAAGACAGGUGUGAAAUCCCUGGGCUCAACCUAGGAAUUGCGCUUGUGACUGGCGGGCUCGAGUACGGUAGAGGGGGGUGGAAUUCCUGGUGUAGCAGUGAAAUGCGUAGAGAUCAGGAGGAACACCGAUGGCGAAGGCAGCCCCCUGGGCCUGUACUGACGCUGAGGCUCGAAAGCGUGGGUAGCAAACAGG
rnacentral:rRNA from 1 species